CACAGAGAGAGAGAGGGGGUCGACAUGGUAACACAGAGAGAGAGGGGGUCGACAUGGUACAAAGAGAGGGAAGAGGGGGUCGACAUGGUAACAGAGAGAGAGGGGGUCGACAUGGUAACAGAGAGAGAGGGGGUCGACAUGGUAACAGAGAGAGAGGGAAUCGACAUGGUAACAGAGAGAGAGGGGUCGACAUGGUAACAGAGAGAGAGGGGGUCGACAUGGUAACAGAGAGAGAGGGGGUCGACAUGGUAACAGAGAGAGAGAGGGGUUCGACAUGGUAACAGAGAGAGAGAGGGGGUCGACAUGGUAACAGAGAGAGAGAGGGGGUCGACAUGGUAACAGAGAGAGAGAGAGGGGGGUCGACAUGGUAACAGAGAGAGAGAGAG
rnacentral:lncRNA from 1 species